ensembl:lncRNA
UUUGAAGGCUUUUUCAGGACAGACUGGGCAGCUCCGUGUCCCUCGGGCCGCUCUCCUCUCGGCCGGGCCAUGGCGGCCAGUGCGGUCGCGUGCAUGGUGGACAAGCACGCAGACGCCGCCGUGCCGUCCCUUGUUCCCUGACCACGCCUCCAGCCCGUAUCUCUGGAAGGACAUGAGCGCUGGGUCGUGCACAAGCCCAGUGAGCAGGUGCAGAGUCGGUUUAUGGAGCCCACCGGGCUGGCCCCCCAGGGCUGGAAGGCGGGUCAGGGUAGGAAUGCCCCUCGGCUGCCCUCCCAGGGCCUCAGCUCCCUGGGGGAUGGUGAGGACGAGUAAGCCAGCACACGGUGGCUGCAGUGACAGUGACGUGAGGAUUGUUGGAGAAGGACCUGAAGUCUUGCGGAGAUGGCAGUUUUCGUGGAACAAUGAUGUUUUGCUGCAAGGACUAGUGGGGAGGACAGUCCUGGCAUUUACAGCUAUAAAUUUCCACCUCGGACCUACUUUAGCUGCACCUCAUAAGUUUGGGAAAGAGAGACAAGAAAAGAGAGCAAGCGAACUCUAUUCCUGCUGCAGUGUGAAGCCUGUGGUGUCAAUCCUCAGAGGACAUGCCACCCUGGGGUGACAGUGAUUUCAGCAGGGCCCUCUGGGGCUCUCUGUCCCUGGUCUCUCUGCUGAGCUAUCUGACACCUAGCUCUGGGUGUCCGCUAAUGGCCAGCAGGUUGCUCUGUUAUUGUUGACAAUGCCUGGGAUACAACUUUACCCCCAGUCUGAUCCUAUUAAAUUUGGGCUCCUUUGCAGGGGUCAUUUUUUGAUGCAAGUCCUUGCGGCUUGUUCCGACCCCAGGAGAUCUCUUCUUAUUUACCUCUUUCCCGUGUCCUCUCUAGGAAACCAGCUGGUCUAUGGUUGAGCUAGUUUCUCCAAAGAAGCUACAGUCUCCUCUCAGUUGCUUGUCACCAAAUCCCCCAUUGAUUUCAAGAGCACCCACAGGCUCGAACCUCCCCACACUCUGGUUCAGAUAAAGCCGGUUCCUCUGGGGAGGGCCUGGGAGCUCCCUUCUCACAGACUGCCUUUCCCUGGGAGGGCCUGUCACUCUGCAGGCGGGCGGGGCAGUGGCCCACUCCCCUCAGAGGUACGUUCUUACUUUGUGAGCAGGGCCUGGGCAGGGGCAGGCACCUCUGGGCAUCUCCACCUGCCUCUCGUGGAGCCCGACCCCACAGGUGAGUGGAGCAAAGGUGAGACGGGCUGCGUGUGCCCGGCCUGCUGUGCCCAGGGAGGGUCUCCACCCUGUGGCUGGGCUGGAUGGAGGAACGAAGCCCCCGGCUUCAUGUGCUCUAUGCCCUUAGAAUAUUCCCAGGGACUUAAAAUUUUUUUCCUCCAGUUAUUGUUGUUCUGCUGGAGAAUGGGCCUGUGGACCUCCUCACAGUGAUAGCCCAGAGCUGGCUUCCUGAAAGUCUUGUGGGGAGAGGGGGCCAUGCAGGCGAGCACAGCUAACCGAGGGACAAUAAUGAAUUUGGAACUGCAGCCUCGUCCUUCUGAUCGUCAGGGGCCAGGUCAUCCUUUUUGCCACCAGGAAUCAACUGUGUCCCGUGAUGUCUUCAGUUUGAACAGACAGAUAAUCCGAAAGAGAUUACUGCCCCUCGGCUCACCGGCACAGGCGAUGGCAGCUCAUAUGAAGCGCAGCACGUCCCCAGACGCACUGCACCCCGACCACAGGCCCACGGGGAGCUGACGGCGGCACCUGUCUGCUUGGCAGGUGACGAUGCUUGGCCCACAGUGAACACUUCUGCCUGAGAAUAGGGAGGUGUAAAGUGAUUCAGCAUACUCCAGGCACGAGUGUCUCUCCUUUGUCCUUUCAAUGAUGAAGUGCUGGCAGCUUGGGAGUAAACAGCAGCACUGGGGAGAAACGGGCCUUUUCUUUUAUAAAAGAUAAACCCGAAUGCGACGGAUGCUGUUUGCCCGGGUCAGCGAGGCGUCCACGCUAAGCUGAUUAGCUCUGGGCAAAGAAGAAAGACAAACACUGGUUUGAAGGUCGCCCUCAUCUGACUGCUCACAAAUGUUCCAGCUCCAGACAAGCCCUCCGCCUCUGCUGCCUCCGCCUGCUCCCUCCACCCGCUGCCAGCAAGCGGGUCUCUCCCCAGAAUGAGGCCGGGGGCAUGGAUACAGGACACACAGCAGGACGCCCUGCCCCGCCAGCCCUGACCCGGGCAGCCCAGGGAGGGCCUGGGGAGCUGGGACUGGCAGGCUUGGCUGGACGUCACCCUGGGCACUGGGGCUGUGGUCACCAGCCCCUCUGCACACGGAGCUGGUGCAGAAGGCACCCGGCUGGCCUAGGGAGGGGCUGGGAAGGGGCUGGAAGAGAAGCCCUUGCAGUUUUUGGUUUCGCUCUUAAUUGCUGAGAGAUUUCUGAAAACCUGUAUCUCCUCAUAUACUUUUAGUCUAGAACUAAAUGUUUUGAAUUUAUGCUUUUACAAAGGAUUCCAUUUCUGGUCUAUUGUGAACACUGAAGUUUUAAAAUAAACCCUCGCAUUCUUCCUUUACACGCACGCAGUGGCAACGUGGUCAGUGUUGGCUCCAGCCUCCCAGGGCACCUGUGCCACACACCCCUGUCCGCUCCCCAAGUGCCUGCACCCCACGCAUCCCAUGCUCCCAGGUUUCCCCGUGUCCCCACAGACCCCAUGAAAUGUGUCUCGCAGCCCACCCCACCCUGCACCCCAAUGCCAGAGCCACCUGAGUCCUCCUCCAGGCAUGGAAGAACUCUGAGUUCACCAG